UAGAAUUGCAAUGGAAUAAAAAAUUAAAGUGCGCCCUUUAGGGACCAAGCUAGGCACUUAGGAUUGCUCAAGUAAUUGGAUCGUUAUGGACAUGGGGAGAAAAGACAUUUCUAUCAACAGAAUAUAUGCAGAUGUCAAAGACUCUAUCAUGUAUUCAAAAAGAAAAUUUAAGGAAAGACAUUUCCUUGAUGUUCGCAUUGACUAAUCAAUUGGAGUUGAAGAGUAAGAAAUGUGAAGAGAUGAAGAUUAACAUUAGCAAGACUGGUUUAAAAGGAAAACAUGGCCCAUAGUUACAAUGAAGGUACUAUAUGUGCCUGCUGAAUUCUCUUACAGACAUGCUUUAUUUCAUAUUCUUCUAGAUGCAUUCGACAUAUUCUAGCAAUUUAUUUCUGCCAUUGUUUUCAAGAGAUGAAGAGAAUGCAGAAUGUUGCAUCUUGUGAGCUUAGGAAAAUUUAUAAGGAGCAGAAGAGAAGUAAAGAAAAACUGGACAGUUGGAGAAAAGAACUCAAGUUAAGAAAUAAAUAAGUCAUCAACGUUGAGCUCUGAAUGAGAGUGAGAAGAGGAAACAGGAUAACCAAUAAAAUGAGGUGCUGCAUUAUUUUGGGUUUGCUUAUAUCAUCAAGGAACAUAAAAAAGCACAUCACAUCAGUAAAGAUUUUGUUUGCAAGAUAAGCGGGAUAAGUAAUUGAUCAAUAAGUAAUUAAUCAAUAAACAAUGAAAUGGUAAAAUUUAAUACGUGGCUUUCUUCCCUAACUUCUAAAAUCAAUCUAAACAUAACACCUCUACAAAUUACCUUGCCAAAUUAGGGAUAACACAUCUACUUGUAAUGAAUGAUCCAAUAAAAGCUAACCUCUCUUUCACUCUCAUACACACAUACAUACAAAUCAAGUAAUAACUAACAUCAAACAUACCAUUAGAGCUAUCAGCUCCUUCUGCAACUUGCAAAACACAUUGAAACUGAUGCCGAUAAGCAAAACACAUUAGAGCUAUCAGCUCCUUCUGCAACAGAAUUGGUAUCGGCAUGAUUGGGAGAAGAGUCGAGUUAAUACCUUUUUGUUGGUCUGGAAGUUCAAUAACAUCUUCGAGUAGUGUCCCUCAAUCAUCGCGGGGAGGACUUCUUCACCGUUUUUGUCCGGACACAACCCAUUGCGGUAGCAAGAUUCUGAAGGCGAGAAUGAGGAGAUUUUGCUACAUCCAACACAAAAAUUAUUAAACUACUCUCAAAUUGUUCAGUCUUUCUAGCAUUAACAAUGAAGAUAGAGUAGACUUUUCUGGGCAGAGAGGAUAUAGAGAACGAUGAGAAAAAAAUUAAUCUCAGAUCUGUUCCUCCGAUCAUUCUACUUGAAAACGUGUUUUUAUCGAUUGGGAGAAUUGCAGUACUAUAUCCGUUGAAAUUGCACCAAUUUAUGAGAAAUAUCGCUGCAGAGAUUGUGAGAACGUGUGGGAAUGGAGAGAGAAGCUUAUUAUAACUGUAACAAAAAGAAUUUGCAUAGUUGCUUCAGAGAUAUUGUGAGAGGACGUGCGCGGAAGUGUAGAAGAGGGAGAGAGAAAAUUGUUGAUUAAUUCUAUAACCAUAACUUUAAGAAUUUGCGAUUGAGAGAACGUGUGGAAGAAGAAGAGAACGUGUGUGAGAAAUCAUAACUUUAAAUUUUG
rnacentral:lncRNA from 1 species